CCACGCCCCUCUCUCUCCCUUCCCAAUCCACAGCCCCCAUGCUCCUCCCUCCUCCCUCCCUCACCCGCCGCCACGCUCCCUCCCACCUCCUCCUCCUCCUUCUCCGCCCUAGAAGCCCGGCCGCCAACUGCUACUCCUCCACCGCCUCGCCUCUUCCUCCUCCUCGCCUUUCAAUCGCUCGCACGCAGGUCACCCGACAACAGGGGCGGUCAGGAAGGCUUCCCAGCCUGAUGGAGGAGCACGCCGCCUGUCCCGAUCCGCGUCCGUCCCGACGCAGCCAGGCGGAUCUUUCUCGGGAGGCAGCGAGAGUUGCAGGCGCAGCGGUCGGCGUGCAUGCGCUGCUCAGCUGGGUCGUCGUGGCCUCCUGGGCGCGGCCAUGGUCGGCAACGCCUCCUGGUGGCCCAUCAACGCGGCGCAGUUCGUGUACGUCGUCAGCGGCUCCUUCCCGGAGGCGUGGACGGGGUUCUCGCGCAAGGCGUUCGCCAGUCUCUGCGGGUUCGUCAGGCUCUCCCUCGUCUAAUUAGUACCUACAGGCGCUCUGGAGUGAUUUUUGUGCUGCAACUUAGAGAUCUGUUACUACACAACAGUAAUCGACGCCACGGCCGAGCAAGAGGAUUCCGUUGCUGUGCACGACUUGGUCGGGUGGUAGUCAUUUUCUCCGCCUUGGACAGCACCAGCUGAGCUAUAGGAUGAUGUGAUUAAUUUUUCCUGCAGGUAUGUCGUCAUUCCUUCAUUCACCAUACGCAAAUCCUGGUCUUCAAUUUAUUUUAAUUUCCAUGAGUGACCUGGCAUUACUGUGAUGCUAUGCAAGCUUGGAGCGUAGAUUUGUAGGGAUUGUACGCUCCACCGUCUAAAAUAAAUCUAGCCAACAGGUGGUUGAGAGGCAUUUUGUGGUGCCACUAUUUUCUUUCAGGUUUAGGCACUUUGACUCCACUAACUUUAGCCAGAUGCUAUUCAGUACAACCUUCAUGUGCACCUUGACUUACAUGGAUAAUCUUGUACGUAAUUCCCUCUUUUUUUUAUUGAUGUGUGGUUUUAUCUGUGUGAUUAAUUCCAUCUCUUUUUACUUUUUCAUGUUAGGUACUACAUGUACUUUUUGUGAUUUCAAGGGUAAAUUACUAGCCAAUUUUGGUACUAGCCAAAUCAAAGAUUUAUGUCCUAAAAAGGAUUUACUCAGCUUCAUGCAAUUGAAUUGUUAUCGCAUAUUUACGAGCAAGCUCAUAUUUAUAUCUCCAUGAUCUCUUAACAGCGAGAAAAGGGCUUACUGCUCCCUUCUAAACUCAUAUAUUUAUUGAUAAGUGCUCCAGUUUCUGUAUCUAUUUCUUGUGGUUUAUGUAUCUAUUUCUCUCUCGAGCUAGCUGAGUGGUCAACACCGAGGAAGAUGGGGAAGACAGAGCCAGCAAGGAAGAUGGCUCAGCCCUGCCGACGAUGCCCACCGGCUACUUCCGUUUGUCGCCAUCGUAGGAGGGGCGCACCAUCGAGGAGCAGCAGGGGAGGAGAUGAGGAUACACCGCUGGACUCCCUCUUCACUUUAUGGUCGCAUCUUCCCCGUCUGUGUACAAUUUAUUCCACUGCUCGACUCAGUGUCCGUCUCAACAAAACCUAACAUGUCGGUGCGAAAUUCUGCUAUGUUCAGUGGACAUGUAUGCUUAAUAUCCCCUCACUGGACAAGAUUGGAUUUUAGUGUAUACAAGCCCUCCUGUCAGCUGCUCAGACACAGGUGAAUGCACUGGACUUUUUGAGAUCGAGGCCGGGCGUCCAUUGACAACCUGCCCAAGGUCUGGAUUCACCGAGGAGUACAACCGGACAUGUGGUCGGCUGCCUGCUGUGGUGAUGAUGGCGGGUCUUCCGAAUCGCUUCCUCAGCCUAACAAUGCAGCCUACAAACUAACUGUUAUCAACAUCAGUAAUGAUGCUGGCCCUUCGCACCGUCGCUUGAAUGCCAAGGAAAACAAGAAAAAGGAGCAUGCAUUGCAUGGGGCACCCGGCACUAUAUACUUUCUAAGCUUUGAUGGUCAUUGAUGGGGAAACAAAGUGAGGCUAUACAAGAAGCGGCUCACACGUUUGCCACUCAAAGAAUGCCAAGGCCCUAUACACAUCACCUGCAAUUAUAUAUACAAUUCUUCGUAGUGUUGUUACCUUUCAUUUCCAAUAUUUCUUUUCUCAGUGUUGUUACCUUUCAUUUGCAGUAUUUCUUGGUCAGUUGUAUUUACCCAAAGCUUUAUGACUUGCCAAUAAAAUCUAGAGAUGGAAAUCCCUACAUCAAAGCUCGUCUAAUCAAAGGAGUCGAUAACAGGGCAACAAUUACGAGAGGCUGGGCAGGCUUCUUCCCCGCAGCUAAUACGAAGGAAAGAAAAAUAUAUGCCUUCACCUUGAAGUGCAACUACAAGCGCCUGCGUCUCACCGUGCACGACCUCUGAGCAUCGUAUUCAGUCUACUAAACUGCUUAAUUAGCCUAUGAAGUUCUGUGUGUAUAGCUUCACCAUAAGAACCUGUUUGCUUUUGGCACUGGACUCUUUGGUCAUCAUGUUCAGUCUACUAAACUACCUAAAUAGCCUAUGAAGCUCUGUGUGUAUAGCUUCACCCUAAGAACCUGUUUGCUUUUGGCACCACUCUCUGCUUUUGACACUACUCUCUGAUAUGUAUAAAUUUGGAAUCCAUGAUGCUAUGUUUGAUCCAUGUAAUAUAUAUAUAUAUAUUCCAACUG